rnacentral:rRNA from 1 species
UACGGGGGGGGCAAGCGUUGUUCGGAAUUACUGGGCGUAAAGGGCCAGUAGGCGGCCAACUAAGUCGGAUGUGAAAUCCCCAGGCUCAACCUGGGAACUGCAUCCGAUACUGGAUGGCUUGAAUUCGGGAGAGGGAUGCAGAAUUCCAGGUGUAGCGGUGAAAUGCGUAGAUAUCUGGAGGAACACCGGUGGCGAAGGCGCCCACCUGGCCUGCUACUGACGCUGAAGCUCGAAAGCUAGGGGAGCAAACGGG